GAAAAAAAAAUUGGCGAACUUGGGAACUAAGGGCAUUUUUGUCCAACUACAUUCCAAAGUUUAUGAGUAUCUCUCGGACUGCCAUGAACCACCGGUCCACCGCCACCACAACCGCCACCCUAACUCGUUGAUUCACACCAGAGCCAAUCCUUCAAGCAUAUGUUCGUCUUCUUCGUGUUCGGAUGAUGACGAUGAUAGUGACAUGUGCGUACGAGAUUUGAAUUUCAGUAGUAAUGGUUUGGUAUCGUUCGCUAGGGUUCCGAUGGGGGUUUUCGGUGACUAUGAGGUCUGGAUCUCGCAACCGUCGUCGGUGGAGGAGCAGCGGCUGCGGUUGCUCCGCCGAUGGCACUCGCCGGUGAUAAACACGUGGAUUCGUCUUCUGGCAACUUGAUAUUGGCUGGAAGGUCCAAGGGUCCUAUUUCAAGUGCGGUAUCUACUUCAUCCCACAAGAAUGUCAUUUCGGAGCCCUUAAAUAUUCAACAAAGCGACCCAAGAGAGACGCAACCCCAUACCCCAUCAUACUAUACACAGUCGAACUUUACCCUCAACGGUUUCAUCUAAUCAGGAAGGACCUGCGUGUAUGAAGAGAAUGGAGAGAAUAUAACAUCACCGGACUUUGAUUUCUGGCAGCUGCAAGGGUGCCUGGUUAUUAGGGGUUUGAACGUGAAAAAGAAACAACAAGAUGGGCUUGAAGUUGAACUUUUGGUGGUAUUUAUUUUCUACAGAUGGGCUUAUAAUAGCGUUUCUUUUACUUGAGCAAGUAAAGCCCGUAUCUAUUACUGUCAUCAUAAUGGUCAUUCAUAACUCAUAAGUCAUAACGGACUAACGGUGGCUAAUAAUCUAGUAACCAUCAAAUUAAAAAAAAAAAAAACAAAUACAAAGAAACAGGGUUUUUUUUUUUAUAGGACGAUAUAUCUUUUCUAUUAUUAGUUUAUUUGAUUGAUGUGCUAUACGGGAAAUGUACUUCAUAUUAAUUUUCUUUUACUUUAUUUCCUCAUUUGUAAUAAGUUUAGUUAAUUUAGAGUUUCAUUUUAUGAUCAAGAAAUGUAUAUGAUCAGGCGAUGCUUUUUAUCAUCAUGAUGUAUUUUU